AUUGAACGCUGGCGGCAGGCCUAACACAUGCAAGUCGAGCGGAUGAAGGGAGCUUGCUCCUGGAUUCAGCGGCGGACGGGUGAGUAAUGCCUAGGAAUCUGCCUGGUAGUGGGGGAUAACGUCCGGAAACGGGCGCUAAUACCGCAUACAUCCUGAGGGAGAAAGUGGGGGAUCUUCGGACCUCACGCUAUCAGAUGAGCCUAGGUCGGAUUAGCUAGUUGGUGGGGUAAAGGCCUACCAAGGCGACGAUCCGUAACUGGUCUGAGAGGAUGAUCAGUCACACUGGAACUGAGACACGGUCCAGACUCCUACGGGAGGCAGCAGUGGGGAAUUUUGGACAAUGGGCGAAAGCCUGAUCCAGCCAUGCCGCGUGUGUGAAGAAGGUCUUCGGAUUGUAAAGCACUUUAAGUUGGGAGGAAGGGCAGUAAGUUAAUACCUUGCUGUUUUGACGUUACCAACAGAAUAAGCACCGGCUAACUUCGUG
rnacentral:rRNA from 1 species